rnacentral:rRNA from 1 species
AUUGAACGCUGGCGGCAUGCCUAACACAUGCAAGUCGAGCGAGCGGCGGACGGGUGAGUCAUGUAUGGGGACCUGCCCGAUAGCGGGGGAUAACUACUGGAAACGGUGGCUAAUACCGCAAACUAUCCGAUCAACCCAUAUGGGCUUAGCUAGUAGGUGGGGUAAAGGCUCACCAAGGCAACGAUCCCUAGCUGGUCUGAGAGGCAGAUCGGCCACACGGGAACUGAGACACGGACCAGACUCCUACGGGAGGCAGCAGUGGGGAAUGUUGCACAAGGGGCGAAAGCCUGAUGAAGCCAUGCCGCGUGUAUGAAGAAGGCCUUAGGGUUGUAAAGCACUGUCAGCGGGGAAGCGGUACCCGCAGAAGAAGCACCGGCUAACUCCGUGCCAGCAGCCGCGGUAAUAC